GAUUGUCACUUAUUGAUGCCAUAAAGACCAUGGAUACUUACAGUCGUCUUAAUGACUCAAUCAUUGGAGUAAUAAAACAAACAGUUGUCAAUCCAGAGGUAGAAAAAUUGAUACAAUUUCUUGAAACUUCAAAGCUUUUUAUACCAAUUGGCUAUUUUAAAUAUUGCCAAUUACCAUCAGGAGGUGCACAAGAAAUG